GGUCCAGCUGCAGAAGACUGUAGAGUGGAACUCCACAGGAAAUAUGUCAGCUCCACAGGAAACACGUGAUCUUUAAGAACGUAAAGUGGGGCUAAUCUUUACGCCGUAAAAUGGAGCUCCACAGGAAACACGCCAUCUACACUGUGUUUGUACCAAGAGAGAGUCUGGACUAAGUCUUCGAACCUGAAUUGCCAUUACAUUAAAAGGAACAUUGUUUUAUAAACCAAAUUGUAAACAUGGAUCCCCGUUUAAAAGCGGCUUUGCUUUUUCAAGACAAAAUUAUACGGCGGUGCACACUACCAUGCCGGGACAAGGUACAUUGUCACCCGGACUUGGCUUCCUCCCUACAACUGUGAGCCACUUCAAUCCCUUCCUAAUGAUGCAGAGAGGAAGGACAUUAUUGUGUUCCCACUAUGGACUCCUGGGCAUUUUUAG